rnacentral:rRNA from 1 species
UACGUAGGGGGCAAGCGUUGUCCGGAUUUAUUGGGCGUAAAGAGCGUGUAGGCGGCCAGACAGGUCCGUUGUGAAAACUCGAGGCUCAACCUCGAGAUGUCGAUGGAAACCGUAUGGCUAGAGUCCGGAAGAGGAGUGUGGAAUUCCUGGUGUAGCGGUGAAAUGCGCAGAUAUCAGGAAGAACACCUAUGGCGAAGGCAGCACUCUGGGACGGUACUGACGCUGAGACGCGAAAGCGUGGGGAGCGAACAGG